rnacentral:sRNA from 1 species
ACCGGUCUUCGGUCAAGGGUAUACGAGUAGCUGCGCUCCCCUGCUAGAACCUCCAAACAAGCUCAAGGCCCCUUCUAUUUUAUCACUAUAUAUUCUUGCUACAUUAUAUUGGUGUUCUCAAGGAAAUAUAUAAAGC